rnacentral:rRNA from 1 species
GAUGAACGCUGGCGGCGUGCCUAAUACAUGCAAGUCGAGCGAACGGACGAGAAGCUUGCUCCUCUGAUGUUAGCGGCGGACGGGUGAGUAACACGUGGAUAACCUACCUAUAAGACUGGGAUAACUUCGGGAAACCGGAGCUAAUACCGGAUAAUAUUUUGAACCGCAUGGUUCAAAAGUGAAAGAUGGUCUUGCUGUCACUUAUAGAUGGAUCCGCGCUGCAUUAGCUAGUUGGUAAGGUAACGGCUUACCAAGGCAACGAUGCAUAGCCGACCUGAGAGGGUGAUCGGCCACACUGGAACUGAGACACGGUCCAGACUCCUACGGGAGGCAGCAGUAGGGAAUCUUCCGCAAUGGGCGAAAGCCUGACGGAGCAACGCCGCGUGAGUGAUGAAGGUCUUCGGAUCGUAAAACUCUGUUAUUAGGGAAGAACAUAUGUGUAAGUAACUGUGCACGUCUUGACGGUACCUAAUCAGAAAGCCACGGCUAACUACGUG